rnacentral:tRNA from 1 species
GCCCGCCUAGCUCAAUCGGAUAGAGCGUCAGACUCUUAUUAGGCAGGUGUAUCUGAAGGCUGCGAGUUCGACCCUCGCGGUGGGCU